CGAGGAAUCUUGGACAAUGGGCGAAAGCCUGAUCCAGCCAUGCCGCGUGAAUGAUGAAGGCCUUAGGGUUGUAAAAUUCUUUCAGCAGGGAAGAUAAUGACGGUACCUGCAGAAGAAGCCCCGGCUAACUCCGUGCCAGCAGCCGCGGUAAUACGGAGGGGGCUAGCGUUGUUCGGAAUUACUGGGCGUAAAGCGCUCGUAGGCGGAUUGGUCAGUCAGGGGUGAAAGCCCGGAGCUCAACUCCGGAACUGCCUUUGAUACUGCCAGUCUUGAGUUCGGGAGAGGUGAGCGGAAUACCGAGUGUAGAGGUGAAAUUCGUAGAUAUUCGGUGGAACACCAGAGGCGAAGGCGGCUCACUGGACCGAUACUGACGCUGAGGAGCGAAAGCGUGGGGAGCAAACAGG
rnacentral:rRNA from 1 species